rnacentral:ncRNA from 1 species
UGAAGUGGGGAAAUGUUCCAUGUGAACAUCACUUGGACAUGGCCGAUUAGUCGAUCCUAAGAGAUGGGGAAUCCUUGUAUCAAGGGUGCACUCUGCAUGAACAUCGAAAGAUAAUUGGGUUAAUAUUCCCGAAUCGGGACAUGGUGGUGGAUGACAAUGUUAGGAAAUCUGGAGAUGUCAUCGGGGGAUUAGGAAGAGUUAUCUUUUCUUUUUAACGACUUUCCCACCCUGAAAUUGGUUCAACCAGAGAUAGGGUCCAACAUAUGAAAGAUAAACCUAAAAUUGGUUCAACCAGAGAUAGGGUCUUUUGGUGUUUGGUGCCCCCUCGGUGACCAUUGUAAAUAUGGUGAACCGAGUACCAUCCAUGCCUGAUCAUACUCAUAUCUGCCUUGGAUUUUUCAAUGUCCAUUAGGUUAGCGAUCUUGA